rnacentral:rRNA from 1 species
AUGGAUAUGGAUGGCAAAGGCAAGUUAGUCCUGCUGGAAGCCACGGAUGAACCAGUUGAUCAUCUGGAGCAUGGGGUGCUUGGGGGGCUUGAGAAAGUGGAUGGGCAUCCAGCGGACCCCCCUGGCCUUGUUCACCAUCCGGCAGUCCCGCCUGAUCUGCCCCUUGUUCUUCUUGACGAUCACGUCCAGCUUGCUCACCUUCUGCAUCGCCUCCCCGAACCUCUGCUGGAACAGCGCGUCGUCCUUGGCGUACUGCUCCACCAGCGGCCUCGUCUGCGGGUCCAGCGCCAGCGUGUUGUCCGAGGUCAGCAGGCUCCGCCGCGCCAGCAGCUCCUGGUAGUAGGCGUUGUCCAGCUUCUCCCCGGUGCGCUCGUCGAAGUUCACCUUGGGCGCCUGCUGCGGGAUGUCGUCCGGCUUGGGCCGCGGGCAAAUCUUCCGCAGCCGCUGCGCGAACGCCGGGUCCAGCGACGGGUCGAUGUCCGCCGUCUUGGAGAAGCCGUAGAUGCGGUUGGAGAACAUGAAGCAGUGCGCGCCCCCGAUGGAGUGCGCGCCGGAGAGCGUCACCAGGUCCUGCUGCGACAGGCCCCGGCUCGCGAACAGCUCCGUCAGCCGCGGCACCGUGUGCCCCGGCACCGGGAAGUUGCCCGGCAGGUCGUCCAUCCGGGAGUGCGUGCCGUCGCGCCGCCCGGCGGGCACCUCGUAGCUCGGCAGCCCCGCCGCCACCGCCGCAUCGCGCGCCGCGAACGACAGGAUGUCGGAGCACGACACCGUGCGCGGGCACAUGGCCUCGAGGCUCGCCUUGGCCACGUCGAUCGUCUGCAGGCCGUGCAGGGUGAACCCGUUCGCCGACGACUCCUUCUCCGGGACGUCGCCCGACGGAGACUCGUCCAGCAGGAUGGACGCGUCGCACCCCUACACCAAAGCACACCGGCCGUGAUAAUUAAGAAACAUUCUGCAUUGGCUGGCAUGGCUCGUGGGCGUGGUGAUCACCGAUCAUGCAUGCAUACCGUGAUGAAGCAGUCGUGGAAGAAGAUGCGGAUGAGGCCCGGGGCGAUGGUGUGGUCCAUGCCGUAG